rnacentral:rRNA from 1 species
CCUACGGGAGGCAGCAGUGAGGAAUAUUGGUCAAUGGGCGCGAGCCUGAACCAGCCAAGUAGCGUGAAGGAUGACUGCCCAACGUGUUGUAAACUUCUUUUAUCAAGGAAUAAAGUGGGGGACUUGUGCCUUUUUGUGGGUACUUUAUGAAUAAGCAUCGGCUAACUCCGUGCCAGCAGCCGCGGUAAUACGGAGGAUCCGAGCGUUAUCCGGAUUUAUUGGGUUUAAAGGGAGCGUAGAUGGGUUGUUAAGUCAGUUGUGAAAGUCUGCGGCUCAACCGUAAAAGUGCAAUUGAUACUGGCAGCCUUGAGUACAGGUGAGGUAGGCGGAAUGCGUGGUGUAGCGGUGAAAUGCUUAGAUAUCACGAAGAACUCCGAUUGCGAAGGCAGCUUACUAACCUGACACUGACAUUGAGGCUCGAAAGUGUGGGUAUCAAACAGGAUUAGAUACCCUAGUAGUC